CAUAUACAUAUACAUAUACAUAUACAUACAUAUACAUAUACAAACAUAUAUACAUAUACAUAUAGAGUUGAGCUAGAAUAUUAUCGAUAGCAAACGGGCUCCAUUGGCACCCAUUUGUUUUCGAUGAUGGAGUUUCCAAAUCAACGAUCGGCACCGUUGAACAUGAUCUAUACCACUUGAAGUAUUUAGAAAUCAAAUUUCAUACAUUUCGAUAUUGUUCUCUUGUCCAUCAAGUGAAUAGAAAAAUAAAUGGCAGGAAAUGAAUAUCCUUCAAAAAGUGAUGAUACAAUUUUUAUAUUUGAGAUCUAGAGUCUAGAUCUUAUUUUAAAUAGUUUAAAGAAUUUUUUAACAAAAAUUUAGUUGAUUUGAACUCUUCGAUACUGUUAAACGAGCAAACGCACCAUAUCGGCCAUUAAAAUUAUAGAUUUUGUGACCCUUUGAUCGUUCAGUUAGUGAUGCCAGAAAAUCAUGAAAUUUGAUUUCUAGAUAAUUUAAAUGGUCUAAAUCAUGUUCAAUGGUGCCGAUCAUUGAUUUGGAAGCUCUAUCAUCAAAAACAAAUCGGUAGUAAACCGAGCAGUUUACUACUGAUA
rnacentral:lncRNA from 1 species